AUGAUCCUACGGGACGCAGCAGUGAGGAAUAUUGGUCAAUGGGCGGAAGCCUGAACCAGCCAAGUCGCGUGAGGGAAUAAGACCCUACGGGUCGUAAACCUCUUUUGCCGGGGAGCAAGGGCCGGGACGAGUCCCGGUCCGGAGAGUACCCGGAGAAAAAGCAUCGGCUAACUCCGUGCCAGCAGCCGCGGUAAUACGGAUGAUGCGAGCGUUAUCCGGAUUUAUUGGGUUUAAAGUGUGCGUAGGCGGGCUUUUAAGUCAGCGGUAAAAAUCCGGGGCUCAACCCCGUCUGGCCGUUGAAACUG
rnacentral:rRNA from 1 species